rnacentral:rRNA from 1 species
GGUAACGCGUAAGAACCUGCCCUUGGGAGGGGAACAACAGCUGGAAACGGCUGCUAAUACCCAUAGGCUGAGGAGCAAAAGGAGGAAUCCGCCCAAGGAGGGGCUCGCGUCUGAUUAGUUAGUUGGUGAGGCAAUGGCUUACCAAGGCGACGAUCAGUAGCUGGUCCGAGAGGAUGAUCAGUCACACUGGGACUGAGACACGGCCCAA